rnacentral:SRP_RNA from 1 species
GGCCGGGUCCCAUGCAAGCCGAGCCCGUGAACCUGGUCAGGCGGGGAACCGAGCAGCCAUAAGCGUGUUGCUCGGUUGUGCUGUGGGUAAACCCGGCCACC